GGGCACAUGGUGUAGUUGGUUAUCACGCCCGCUUAGCAUGUCUUUAUGCGGAUGCGGGCGGUGCCCGGUUCGAUUCCGGGUGUGUCCA